AGACCGCAGCUAACUGGGAGCAGUGAUUGAUUUCAGCAAGACUUGAACCAAGGAAACCAGGUCUAUUCUGCCCCGGACUGGAGCACGUCAUCUAAGGCAGUUCUGAGCACUGAAGGGAAAUCAUAUUGAAGAUUUCAACCUUGAAGUUAAUCGCGAAGUUUGCUGCAGACGGCGAAUGUUUCAAAGAGACGAAAAGCCGCAGAAGCAGAAGGAGAGUAAGCCGGUGGACUCUGCACGAAAGGCAAGCAGUGCAGACACUGCUGCUCCAACUUCAAAGGGCAGCAGACACGAGGUCCCCUAAGACCCGCCUGCUCGUGGGUCAUGGUUCUGCCCGAUCCGCACUCGACAGACUCUUCCUCCUCUGAAAUCCUUAUAACGCCUGCUUUCUGGGGCUUCUGAUCACGGAACGCUAGGGCGGAAAAGCACUUCAGAGGGCAGGAUUCUGGACCAAACCUCUUACAGACCAACAGAGUCCCGGAGAGGUUAAACAACUUGCCCUCCUAUGCACUUGAUCUCAAAGUCUUCUCCGGAGGUGUUCUCCGGAGGUGGGGGAAGUCCAUGUCUUAGUUUUCUUUUUCUCUUUGCCAGAGCAGUGCAACAUAGGCAGCACUAAAUAAAUAUGUUGUGCUGAAUCUCGAAAGUAUUCAAAACUCCAACUACACCAAAAUAAUCCACUGUGAAUGCUGCAUCAACAUGGAUAUGUGCCUUAAGUACACAGUCUUAAGAUAUAUUUACCAUAUGUUACAGGUAGAUCCAAAGGCUAGAUAAUUAUAAACCUUUCUAGGUAUCCCCAGGAUACUUUACAUUUAUCAAGUGCCUUGCAAUAUGUAAGUUACUCUUUUCGAGUCUCACAGUUGUUCCCAGGAGGUAGCUGGAGAUCUCAUCCUCACGUUACAUGUGAGGAAACGAGGGAGACUUGGAAAACUUAAGACUUGCUUGUGUUGAGCCUUUAAGUAGCCAAUAUAGGAUUUGACCCACACAUGAGGCCCAGUUCAUAGCCCUCUCCUCUAGACCAUGGCGCCUCGAAUGCCUAAAGAUUUUCUUCAACAACAAAAGCCUUUGCUUCUUUGAUUCUUCUACAGUAGAAAAGAAAAUUAAAGAAACUAGCAUUUUUUUCCCUUAACAGAGGGCUUACAAACCCCUGCCCUAUUGUUUGACCUACCGGGGCUUAAUGCAUACCUGAAACUCUUUCUUGCUCCAAAAGCUUAGUGUAAAGAUUGAAUAUCUGUUCCUGGACUUUGCACACAGAUCGUUUAAUCUUUUCCCUGCGGGUCACCAUGUAAGUGAGGUUCCGAACCUAGAACGUAGAGAAUAAAGAUUCUAAGUAAGCAAUACAUUAUAACAGGACUUUGGUGUUUUUUUGUUUUUUUCCUCUUUACCUGAGAAAAAUUUGUCCUACUAGGUCCUUGAGUGACUUUUGAUAUCCAAAUGUACUUUAAACAUUUUAGCUAAUCUCUAAGCCUCCCUUUGGGGGUGCUAACAAGUAUUCUGCAUAUACCCCUCAAGGUGGGUAGCAGCACAAAAGAGGCUGCCAGAGGAGGUCCUGCCCCUGCACCACACCUGGCCACAGGCUCCUCCUGGCGAAGAGACAGACGCCCAUCGGUGUCCAAGUCCAAACAUGCCAGCUCUUGCCACAGGACUCUGCUUAUCACCCCUUCAGUAUCCUCUUCCCAUGAAUUCUAUCGUCAGAGGCUUCAGAGCAGUUCAGAAGCCACCUCUGCUGCACUUUAUUAAGCAUCUUCUGAAGAUGGAACUAGAUAGCAUUAGGGUCAAGGGCCAUCAGAGGGAGAAGCCCCUCACAAACAAUGUCCCCACACAGGGCUCACUAGAAGGCCAAGUAGUCACCAGGAAUCCAAGUAAACUUCUUUUGUUGACACUGAACUCUCUGAAUUACCUUGGAACUUACAGGCCGCUGUGUUCCUACAGCGUGUGAACACCUAGGGAACAUCCUUCUUGCUUUGCCAUUGACUUGCUAGCUCAGCCUCCCAAGGCCAGCUUUCUGUAUCACCACCUGAAAAACUGAAACUGCCCUCUUCUCGAUUCAUCGGUCAGUAACCGAGAAGACCCCAGCACUAGGAGCUCCGCUUUGCAUCUGAUGUGCGACCACUGGGGAACUGCAUGCAGAUGCUCAUUCACCAGUAGUAAGCAAUCAACACUUAAAUUUGUUCCCCAUUUUCAAAGCCACCUGUGAUCAGCCAAUACAGAAUCAAAUUUUAAUGACUUAAUCAAUAAACCCCCUUACAUCUCUCAGUCCUAAAACCUACUGGUAAGACCUGAUUAGACGGCAUGGGCCUGAAAACACAAACGUCAAAUGCAACACAGCAGAUAACACAAUUAAUAAACCUUUCUUCAGGAAGAUGUGGACAAGACCACCCCAGUAAGCUCAGUGGCAAGACUGAAAACAGGGACUGCGUAUCCCCAUCAGCUCCUACACCAAAGGUAUGACUGCACUCUCCUAACGCUUGGGCUAUCCCUUCUCCUGCCACCUUCCCCCAAGAUCACUAACCUUUUGGCAGCGAGAGUGGCAACAAGCGACACACACAGCCCUGCAUUUUGGCUUAUGUACAGAUACGCCACCCCUAAAGAACCCUAACAAUUCCAGCUGUUCUUCCCCAGCUGUGUUCAAGGCAGCCUCCUUUCCAAGAGGACACAAGGCAUUAAGAGGAACAGGUCAGCUGGCUUUCACAUUUGCAUUGCUCACGUUGUAAGUGGUAUAAUUUCCUGGCCUAAAGCAGGACCACCAAG